AGUUUCCCACCGUGUCCCUGUGAAGUGAGAUCUAGUUAACGAGUGUUUAAACUCCUCAGUUAGGGCGAAGUCACAAAGUGAUUGUUCCUGUUGCUUUUGCACUUGCUAAUGCCCUAAUCUUUUGACUGUGGUUUAGAAAGGUCAACCGGAGUCCUCUGGAGGAAACCCUAAUUGUGGAUUGCCCAACACCGGAAGACUGCAGCAGCAGCUGUUCCUGAGUCAGAUGAAAGAUCCUCAGUUUGCAGCCGAAGAGCACAAUGUUAAUUAUGAGGUAGGAUGCUUUUUUGGAGAAGGAAACAGCCAACGAUAUGAGCCACCCUUCUCCACUCCCCAACGCCAGUAAAAUCCUUCCCUUCCUCAAGAGACACACUAAACAUGUUACAAUAUUUGCCACCAAGCAAGGAGGCAAGUUCAGAUGGUUCACCCCGAUGAGCUGAUGCGCCACCCCAAAGAGGCUCAGCAUGUAGAUAUUCCCAAACAACGGUGGUCCAGAGACUCUGAUUUCAGAUCCAUCGAAUUGAAAGAAACCCCCCUCUCCUCCUCUUCACCAGUAAUACCACCAGCUGCUGCAGCUGGGCGAACGCUGAGAUUAUUCGCUUAGAUUUAUUUAGGUCCGAGCAACCUGAAAACACAAACACAGGGGAGAGCGAGACACUCGCGCGGUGCCUGUGAGACAGACAGAGGCAGAGUAGGCGAUUCGGUUGCCUCCUUGGGUGGGCAGCACUUUUUUCCCAGGGAGGGACUCGGAAACAGGGAGGGGAAAAAAAACCAGGCGAUUUUCCCCCCAGUCCCACAGCCUGGCUUCCAUCAAAGAUUGCUCCGGACUGAACACAAAAUAAAUGCUUUCCACUUACACAGGGAGCCUCAGCCGCC